UGGGGCUCUGCCUCUCUAGCCCCGGGCAAAUGCCAGUGGAUCCCUGGGAGGUGAGUGUCAGGACCGCGACAGGGACUGUGGGUGUCUGCUGUGACCGGAGGCCCGAGGUCCGGGGCCAUUGGAGCCCCUGGGCGAGCAGUGCGGGCCCAGGCCUUGUGGGAAGCAGUGGCCGCCUGACUGUGCCGCCGGGCGCACUCCUGACCUGAUUUCCUUGUGAAACCUUGUAUGGUAGUAGAAAAAUUCUCAGGACAAACUUCAUUUGGUAAGCCCCCCCCCCAUUCUUUCUGUGAUAAUUUAAGGAAGGGAAAAAUUAAUUUGUAGAUUGAUUGUGGAGACCUGGUCGUCUUUGUCCAUAAUUAUUUAGAUGAGUUUUUCUGUUUAUUGUAAUGCCC
rnacentral:lncRNA from 1 species